AUGGCUGUCGUCAGCUCGUGUCGUGAGAUGUUGGGUUAAGUCCCGCAACGAGCGCCAACCCUAUAUUCAGUUGCCAGCAUGUAAAGAUGGGAACUCUGGAUAGACUGCCGGUGAUAAACGGAGGAAGGUGGGGAUGACGUCAAAUCAUCAUGCCCCUUAUGUCUUGGGCUACACACGUGCUACAAUGGGCAGUACAGACGGAAGCGAAGCUGUGAAGUGGAGCAAAUCCGAGAAAGCUGUUCGUAGUUCGGAUUGUAGGCUGCAACUCGCCUACAUGAAGUCGGAAUCGCUAGUAAUCGCAGGUCAGCACACUGCGGUGAAUACGUUCCCGGGCCUU
rnacentral:rRNA from 1 species